CCGAAUACGGCAAGCAGGAUUUUGCCCCGUGUUCAUGUGCCGGCCACAAACACGACCGAGCACCGUGUCCAGACCCAAAAACCAGCCUGUUGUCACGGACGGCGAUUACGCCUCUAUCUCCUGCGCUCGGUUUGCUCCAGCUCGGGGUCCCCGCGCUUUGCCGUUUGCAGCAUUUACUUUAAGUUAGACACGCAGCAAACAAUAUAUAUAUUUUUUCCCAGUUUCUUACAGAGAAAAACUUGGUCUCUUUUCUGGAAUGUAACCAGGGCAUGCUUCACAGUUAUAUUUUUUUAAUCUCUUAAAUUGGAGCACGCUUUUGGCUUCCAUGCAAUACUGACCCUGCAUUUUUUAGUGUAUUUUUAAUUAGUAAGUUUAGACACCGCAUACCAGCGCUGCACGGAUUGAGGGUCCUGUACUGAAAAUCACUUGGUCGGAGCUCCCUGCCCACGGACUCUCUCUCAGGCCAGCGACAGCAGGAGGACGAAUCCUGCGCUCCGAUGUAAACCCCAACACCGCUGACAUGCAAGAAUUGCCUCCUCAAAUUCAGAAAUCGCCUUCGAAGCAAUCUCCGUGUUAGCAGUGACUACACAUCCUCCGAAUCAACCUCGCGUCUCCUUGCAGAGCCCGUGGAAGGAUCUCCUCUGCCACCCUUUACGCAGGCUGCGUGGGGAUGAAUUCCUGCCGGCAUGGGGGCAAGCGCCGGGUUUGCAGCCUGGUCUCUGGCUAUUCUGGUGACGUCAUUUGCAGAAAUAACAGUAAUGCUUCCUAAACUUUCCCAGUGACUCAUUUAUUUCACAUAACUGUGUACCAAAUUGUUUGGAGGUGCUAUUAAAAACGGGUUUUGCUAAGGAUUGUUAACAUGGCCAGUUGGUUUGAUGUAAAGGAGUGCAUCGAAUCCUCAGCAAAAAUAGCAGAGCAUUUCAGACACUUUCUUUACAUUUAUACUGGAUGCUGUAAAUGAAUCAUUACUCCAUAUUCUGAGCGAGUUCUUAUGCUGCUCCCCAUCUCUGAGCCCUGCGCAGUUUUUAGGCUAUUUGUUCAAGGCAAACGAAGAAGGAUUGUGCCAGUCUUUAGCAGAGGCAAAGAGCAGAGGGGAACGCUAACGCUGCCGAAUUCACCGUGCUCAGAAUCUGAACAUCUGUACUGCGGAGCGCAACAAUGAGACUGGGGCUCCGCAGCUAAAACAACAACAAUAAAAAACUAUGAAACUGAAAACAAAACAGAGGCUUCCUGCCAGUAAAUGGUUAUGCUCGGGUCUGUGUGGCAGAGGCUGAGAGCUCAAGCCAUCUCUCGUGCCACGAACCCUGCCUGCAUUCCACAGCCCGCUCGGCACAGGAACGCUCCUCUCCGCUGGAAAAGCAACGAACGGUCACAAAAAUGGGGGAGACGUUUCCUAAUCGGGAGUUUUUGUUUUGUUUUCAACGUAAAAGCUAACUGGGAAACACCAGCCUAUUGUUCCGCUCUCCAGAAAGCAGUUCCAAAAUCGGGCAAGCCUAAAAUUUAGCAUAGUAAUGAUGCCCAACUGAAUUUCUUUUGUCUCUCUGCUUAUGCUCCGUUCCAGGUUGAUUUCGCUUCAAAAAUAAGUGUACUCGCUGACAAAGAAAGGCCCAGAGAUCAGGAACAGCAGAAAUACAUGCCAGAAAUCUAUGCUAAUGUUUCACGGCAUCCAGCGUGGAUGCUUAAAACAAUGCCUGACACGUCCUGGUGCUCGGGAGAAAAGCCCAUGUAUUUCCCCUCUUGCCCUGAGCAAACACCAACUGUUAAUGCGAACGAAAAAUUCUGGAACAUCAGCUAAUGCUGGCAGGUCCCCAUUUGCAGGGACUGUGAAAGGAGGAACUCUUUUGCCACCUUUGCUUUUCAGAGAUACAACAGGAGGACACAUUUUUCUACACACGGCAGACGCAGACAAAGACUGCCCACAGCACCCAAGCCCCGACGAGCCCCGAGCGCUGGGAACCGGAGUGAACGCUGUUACCAAACAGCACAAAACCAGACACAGCCUUUAUGUAACGCUGCACAUUUAGAUCACAACGGCACGCCAAGUCCAACCAUGAUUAAAUGAAGGGAGGAGAGUGCCAAGCUGAUAUUUUAAAUCAUGAACGGUUUUGAAGCAGGAAACUUCACCCUACAUUUCUAAUAAAUACUUUCUUUUAAGCAAAUAA